rnacentral:piRNA from 1 species
AACCACUGCUGCUAAGACUCUCACUGU